CCAUGGGUGGUGCAAUGGUGUAUGCACUUGGCUGCUAACCAAAAGGUGGUGGUUUGAAUCCACCCAGUGGU
rnacentral:tRNA from 1 species